rnacentral:rRNA from 1 species
AUUGAACGCUGGCGGCAUGCGUUACACAUGCAAGUCGAACGGUAACAGGUCUUCGGAUGCUGACGAGUGGCGAACGGGUGAGUAAUACAUCGGAACGUGCCCGAUCGUGGGGGAUAACGCAGCGAAAGCUGUGCUAAUACCGCAUACGAUCUACGGAUGAAAGCGGGGGAUCGCAAGACCUCGCGCGGACGGAGCGGCCGAUGGCAGAUUAGGUAGUUGGUGGGAUAAAAGCUUACCAAGCCGACGAUCUGUAGCUGGUCUGAGAGGACGACCAGCCACACUGGGACUGAGACACGGCCCAGACUCCUACGGGAGGCAGCAGUGGGGAAUUUUGGACAAUGGGCGAAAGCCUGAUCCAGCAAUGCCGCGUGCAGGAUGAAGGCCUUCGGGUUGUAAACUGCUUUUGUACGGAACGAAAAGACUCUGGUUAAUACCUGGGGUUCAUGACGGUACCGUAAGAAUAAGCACCGGCUAACUACGUGCCAGCAGCCGCGGUAAUACGUAGGGUGCAAGCGUUAAUCGGAAUUACUGGGCGUAAAGCGUGCGCAGGCGGUGAUGUAAGACAGAUGUGAAAUCCCCGGGCUCAACCUGGGAACUGCAUUAGUGACUGCAUCGCUGGAGUGCGGCAGAGGGGGAUGGAAUUCCGCGUGUAGCAGUGAAAUGCGUAGAUAUGCGGAGGAACACCGAUGGCGAAGGCAAUCCCCUGGGCCUGCACUGACGCUCAUGCACGAAAGCGUGGGGAGCAAACA